CGCCGGACGGGAAGAAUCGCCCUCAUAACCCGAAGGUCAUAGGUUCAAAUCCUAUCCCGGCAACCA
rnacentral:tRNA from 1 species